CACAUCGUUGUCCAGACGUACAUCUGUCACGGCUUUUCUCACUGCGUCUUCAAACUCAUCAAGCUUGUUUAACACCUGCUCACACACACACACACACACACACACACACACGCACACACACACUAUGAACUGACACUGACCAAGUGAAUACACAGCUGGCCAAGUCCCAUGAUAAUGAAUGCGUUCAAAAGCAUGUGAAAAAUUUGUGAUUCAAUGUCCAUUGAAUUUAACCAAAACUUGUUAUUUUCUGCCUUUUGCAUUUAAAAAAACAAAUUCUCUUUUUUUUUUUUACUAACA